UAAUUUAGAUUAAAAUUUUGACAUUGGCACCGAUUCUGUUGUUUUUCUCUAAACUAAAUUUAGUGUAUCUGCAUCCUCCUUCUUUCAAUAUUGCUAAAUAAGUACGGAACAUGAAUUUUACAUUUAAAGACUCUUUUUAGUGCACGCUACCAAACAAUAUGCUCGCGACUGGCAGCUAAAGUCACGAGGUUUGAUAGCUCUAGAAAUUAAAAACUGUCAAAAUUUGUGUGUCUUUUCACAUUACAUUAGUUAGAAGAGGAUGCGAAUACUCUAAAAUUUAGUUACC